GUAGGUGGCAAGCGUUGUCCGGAAUUAUUGGGCGUAAAGCGCGCGCAGGUGGUUCUUUAAGUCUGAUGUGAAAGCCCCCGGCUCAACCGGGGAGGGUCAUUGGAAACUGGGGAACUUGAGUGCAGGAGAGGAAAGUGGAAUUCCACGUGUAGCGGUGAAAUGCGUAGAUAUGUGGAGGAACACCAGUGGCGAAGGCGACUUUCUGGCCUGUAACUGACACUGAGGCGCGAAAGCGUGGGGAGCAAACAGGAUCAGAUACCCUGGUAGUCCACGCCGUAAACGAUGAGUGCUAAGUGUUGGGGGGGGUUUCCGCCCCCUCAGUGCUGCAGCUAACGCAUUAAGCACUCCGCCUGGGGAGUACGGUCGCAAGACUG
rnacentral:rRNA from 1 species